AGGACGAACGCUGGCGGCGUGCUUAACACAUGCAAGUGGAGCGACGAACCAGGGCUUGCCCUGGGGCAGAGCCGCGAACGGGUGAGUAACACGUGGGUAACGUGCCCCGAUGACUGGGACAACCCGGGGAAACCCGGGCUAAUACCGGAUAUGCCCCCUGAUAUUUGUCAGGUGUGUAAAGGAAGCUUCGGCCUCCGCAUCGGGAUCGGCCCGCGGCGCAUUAGCUUGUUGGUGGGGUAAUGGCCUACCAAGGCAGCGAUGCGUAGCUGGUCUGAGAGGACGAUCAGCCACACUGGGACUGAGACACGGCCCAGACUCCUACGGGAGGCAGCAGUGGGGAAUAUUGCGCAAUGGGCGGAAGCCUGACGCAGCGACGCCGCGUGGGGGAUGACGGCCUUCGGGUUGUAACCUCUUUCGCCAGGGACGAAGAGAAUUGACGGUACCUGGAUAAGAAGCACCGGCCAACUACGUGCCAGCAGCCGC
rnacentral:rRNA from 1 species